rnacentral:rRNA from 1 species
GAUGAACGCUGGCGGCGUGCCUAAUACAUGCAAGUCGAGCGAACGGACGAGAAGCUUGCUUCUCUGAUGUUAGCGGCGGACGGGUGAGUAACACGUGGAUAACCUACCUAUAAGACUGGGAUAACUCCGGGAAACCGGAGCUAAUACCGGAUAAUAUUUUGAACCGCAUGGUUCAAAAGUGAAAGACGGUCUUGCUGUCACUUAUAGAUGGAUCCGCGCUGCAUUAGCUAGUUGGUAAGGUAACGGCUUACCAAGGCAACGAUGCAUAGCCGACCUGAGAGGGUGAUCGGCCACACUGGAACUGAGACACGGUCCAGACUCCUACGGGAGGCAGCAGUAGGGAAUCUUCCGCAAUGGGCGAAAGCCUGACGGAGCAACGCCGCGUGAGUGAUGAAGGUCUUCGGAUCGUAAAACUCUGUUAUUAGGGAAGAACAUAUGUGUAAGUAACUGUGCACAUCUUGACGGUACCUAAUCAGAAAGCCACGGCUAACUACGUGCCAGCAGCCGCGGUAAUACGUAGGUGGCAAGCGUUAUCCGGAAUUAUUGGGCGUAAAGCGCGCGUAGGCGGUUUUUUAAGUCUGAUGUGAAAGCCCACGGCUCAACCGUGGAGGGUCAUUGGAAACUGGAAAACUUGAGUGCAGAAGAGGAAAGUGGAAUUCCAUGUGUAGCGGUGAAAUGCGCAGAGAUAUGGAGGAACACCAGUGGCGAAGGCGACUUUCUGGUCUGUAACUGACGCUGAUGUGCGAAAGCGUGGGGAUCAAACAGGAUUAGAUACCCUGGUAGUCCACGCCGUAAACGAUGAGUGCUAAGUGUUAGGGGGUUUCCGCCCCUUAGUGCUGCAGCUAACGCAUUAAGCACUCCGCCUGGGGAGUACGACCGCAAGGUUGAAACUCAAAGGAAUUGACGGGGACCCGCACAAGCGGUGGAGCAUGUGGUUUAAUUCGAAGCAACGCGAAGAACCUUACCAAAUCUUGACAUCCUUUGACAACUCUAGAGAUAGAGCUUUCCCCUUCGGGGGACAAAGUGACAGGUGGUGCAUGGUUGUCGUCAGCUCGUGUCGUGAGAUGUUGGGUUAAGUCCCGCAACGAGCGCAACCCUUAAGCUUAGUUGCCAUCAUUAAGUUGGGCACUCUAAGUUGACUGCCGGUGACAAACCGGAGGAAGGUGGGGAUGACGUCAAAUCAUCAUGCCCCUUAUGAUUUGGGCUACACACGUGCUACAAUGGACAAUACAAAGGGCAGCGAAACCGCGAGGUCAAGCAAAUCCCAUAAAGUUGUUCUCAGUUCGGAUUGUAGUCUGCAACUCGACUACAUGAAGCUGGAAUCACUAGUAAUCGUAGAUCAGCAUGCUACGGUGAAUACGUUCCCGGGUCU